UAAGAGGAGUAUCUCGUAUCAGGGGAUGUGCCUGAGCGACACAGUGGCAACAUGUUUCUUUAAAAAGAUGGUUUCAUAGAGAUCGGGAGGAGGAUUUUUUUUUGGAGAGAGGACACCACGGGGGAAGAGAUCAGAGAGCUUUCAUGGGCAUACAAAGAAAAAAGAGGGGAUCAUCCAUUCUCUGGAAAAAACAGCACACAACGGGGAGGGAAUCACGACUCGAAAGGUGAAGGUUCGGGUAUGCAUUACUUUCUCCCUUCGCACACAGACACUAUGCAUAUCAUGAGUGAGGCCCUAUACCCGAGUCUGAGCGCAACUUAGAAUUAGAGGAGUUGUGUAACGAUGUCACUCUGGGACAUACUAUAACACCCCAAAUAAUUUAAAGGGUAUUAUUGGUAGUAAAGACUAAAUUAAUUUGAUAUCUGAUAUAAACAAUCAAACUUUAUUUCAA